GACGAACGCUGGCGGAGUGUUUAACACAGGCAAGUCGAACGGAAAGGCCCUGCUUUUGUGGGGUGCUCGAGUGGCGAACGGGUGAGUAACACGUGAGUAACCUGCCCUUGACUUUGGGAUAACUUCAGGAAACUGGGGCUAAUACCGGAUAGGAGCUCCUGCUGCAUGGUGGGGGUUGGAAAGUUUCGGCGGUUGUGGAUGGACUCGCGGCUUAUCAGCUUGUUGGUGGGGUAGUGGCUUACCAAGGCUUUGACCGGUAGCCGGCCUGAGAGGGUGACCGGCCACAUUGGUACUGAGAUACGGCCCAGACUCCUACGGGAGGCAGCAGUGGGGAAUAUUGCACAAUGGGCGGAAGCCUGAUGCAGCAACGCCGCGUGCGGGAUGCCGGCCUUCGGGUUGUAAACCGCUUUCGCCUGUGACGAAGCGUGAGUGACGGUAAUGGGUAAAGAAGCACCGGCUCCCUACGUG
rnacentral:rRNA from 1 species